rnacentral:lncRNA from 1 species
AGGCCCGGCUCACGAGGGUGGGCAAAGGGGCAUUGGCCUAGGGCCCAAAAGAUUUUUUGCAUAAAUAGUAUUGAAAAGGGGCUCAAUAUUUUAAAAAAAAUUGAAGAUAAAGGCCCGAAAUUUUUAAGUUACCAUAUAAUUAUGUUAAAAUUUUGUUUUUUAACUAUUUUGCCAAGGGCCCAAAAUUCUUUUGAGCCGGGCCUG